UGGAUUCGCUAGUAAUCGCGCAUCAGCCACGGCGCGGUGAAUACGUUCCCGGGCCUUGUACACACCGCCCGUCAAGCCAUGGGAGCCGGGGGGUACCUGAAGUGCGUAACCGCGAGGAUCGCCCUAGGGUAAAACUGGUGACUGGGGCUAAGUCGUAACAAGGUACC
rnacentral:rRNA from 1 species